UUGAAAUAUUCAUUUAUGGUUGUUAUAGCUGAAAAUCAUGUGCGACACUUGACUGUGGGAAGGAGUAUUUGAGUUAUUGUUGUUAUUUCCUUUCGAUUUGAACUCCAUAUUCACAUGUGUGGAUUUGUGUGUUCCACGCCAGGUUCGGAAGCAGCAACGAGCACCGCGACUCCACGUAGGGAGUGAGCUCGUGUUGGUACCUUUUUGGCUGGACCUCGAGUGUUUUCUUUUCAGGUGCGUGACGGCACGCGGGUCCACUGCAGAGUCUAGACAGGAGUUGUGUAUAUAGAAGUCUAGCUUUUUGACUCUUUUGAUUAUGUGCCUAUUUUUGGAGCAUGUAUAUGUUGUAAAUAUAUGUGGGCACGUCUUGUAUGACAGUUAUUUCCGUAUAUAUGCAAGUUAAGUUUUUUUU